rnacentral:rRNA from 1 species
UACAGAGGUGGCAAGCGUUGUUCGGAAUUACUGGGCGUAAAGGGCGCGUAGGCGGCCUACUAAGUCAGACGUGAAAUCCCCCGGCUUAACCUGGGAACUGCGUCUGAUACUGGAAGGCUCGAGUAUGGGAGAGGGAUGUAGAAUUCCAGGUGUAGCGGUGAAAUGCGUAGAUAUCUGGAGGAAUACCGGUGGCGAAGGCGGCAUCCUGGACCAUUACUGACGCUGAGGCGGCGAAAGCUAGGG